UACGGAGGGUGCAAGCGUUGUCCGGAUUUAUUGGGUUUAAAGGGUGCGUAGGCGGUCUUUUAAGUCAGUGGUGAAAUCCUCCAGCUCAACUGGAGAACUGCCAUUGAUACUGGAAGACUUGAGUAUAGUUGAGGUAGGCGGAAUUGACGGUGUAGCGGUGAAAUGCAUAGAUAUCGUCAAGAACCCCGAUUGCGAAGGCAGCUUACUAAACUAUAACUGACGCUGAGGCACGAAAGUGCGGGGAUCAAACAGG
rnacentral:rRNA from 1 species